UACAGAGGUCUCAAGCGUUGUUCGGAUUCAUUGGGCGUAAAGGGUGCGUAGGCGGCGCGGUAAGUCGGGUGUGAAAUCUCGGGGCUUAACUCCGAAACUGCAUUCGAUACUGCCGUGCUUGAGGACUGGAGAGGAGACUGGAAUUUACGGUGUAGCGGUGAAAUGCGUAGAUAUCGUAAGGAAGACCAGUGGCGAAGGCGGGUCUCUGGACAGUUCCUGACGCUGGAGACGCGAAAGCUAGGGGAGCGAACAGG
rnacentral:rRNA from 1 species